GACGAACGCUGGCGGCGUGCUUAACACAUGCAAGUCGAACGGAAAGGCCCUGCUUUUGUGGGGUGCUCGAGUGGCGAACGGGUGAGUAACACGUGAGUAACCUGCCCUUGACUUUGGGAUAACUUCAGGAAACUGGGGCUAAUACCGGAUAGGAGCUCCUGCUGCAUGGUGGGGGUUGGAAAGUUUCGGCGGUUGGGGAUGGACUCGCGGCUUAUCAGCUUGUUGGUGGGGUAGUGGAUUACCAAGGCUUUGACGGGUAGCCGGCCUGAGAGGGUGACCGGCCACAUUGGGACUGAGAUACGGCCCAGACUCCUACGGGAGGCAGCAGUGGGGAAUAUUGCACAAUGGGCGGAAGCCUGAUGCAGCAACGCCGCGUGCGGGAUGACGGCCUUCGGGUUGUAAACCGCUUUCGCCUGUGACGAAGAGUGAGUGACGGUAAUGGGUAAAGAAGCACCGGCUAACUACGUG
rnacentral:rRNA from 1 species